rnacentral:piRNA from 1 species
UAGUGAGCUAAAGUUCGGGGGUU